AACAACAAAAACGAUAUUGCUAAUGGUACUAAUAUAAACUGAUAAUAAUACAUUCUCUCUAUCAAUUCACAGGGAUCUGUAUUUGCACGAUACACGGAUCUAUUGUGUUGAACCAAAACAUAGUGAAGAAGUACAAAUUUGGCAGCAAGUACAUCAAGCCAGACUUGUCCACUCUGGUGCCCAACGCUACACCUGUGUGUCGGGGAAACAACAUUGGUCACGUGAUCUGUGACCUACUGCACUGGGACGGCAGUUUGGACGCAUCCAGUCCUCGAACAUGCGCACUGCUGCAAUUGGACAAGCUCCAGAAGCUUGGUCUAACGCUGAAGUCGGGGAUCGAGUUCAAGUUUACGAUCAAAGGUCUCAAGAGUAAGGCGGACAUGGAGAAAGAGCUUCCUUUCGGAGUCACAAGAGAAAUCGGUGUCCAUCAGGAGCUUUUCUUGGAGUUCAUGAACGAUAUGAAGAACAUGGGUGUUCUUAUCACGAGCGUACAAACUGACGCAGGACCGUCAGGGUUUGAAUUCACCUGCGCACCGUGUGACGGG